UCCUGACUGACCGAUAGUGAACCAGUACCGUGAGGGAAAGGCGAAAAGAACCCCGGCGAGGGGAGUGAAAAAGAACCUGAAACCGUGUACGUACAAGCAGUGGGAGCACGCUUAGGCGUGUGACUGCGUACCUUUUGUAUAAUGGGUCAGCGACUUAUAUUCUGUAGCAAGGUUAACCGAAUAGGGGAGCCGAAGGGAAACCGAGUCUUAACUGGGCGUUAAGUUGCAGGGUAUAGACCCGAAACCCGGUGAUCUAGCCAUGGGCAGGUUGAAGGUUGGGUAACACUAACUGGAGGACCGAACCGACUAAUGUUGAAAAAUUAGCGGAUGACUUGUGGCUGGGGGUGAAAGGCCAAUCAAACCGGGAGAUAGCUGGUUCUCCCCGAAAGCUAUUUAGGUAGCGCCUCGUGAAUUCAUCUCCGGGGGUAGAGCACUGUUUCGGCAAGGGGGUCAUCCCGACUUACCAACCCGAUGCAAACUGCGAAUACCGGAGAAUGUUAUCACGGGAGACACACGGCGGGUGCUAACGUCCGUCGUGAAGAGGGAAACAACCCAGACCGCCAGCUAAGGUCCCAAAGUCAUGGUUAAGUGGGAAACGAUGUGGGAAGGCCCAGACAGCCAGGAUGUUGGCUUAGAAGCAGCCAUCAUUUAAAGAAAGCGUAAUAGCUCACUGGUCGAGUCGGCCUGCGCGGAAGAUGUAACGGGGCUAAACCAUGCACCGAAGCUGCGGCAGCGA
rnacentral:rRNA from 3 species